rnacentral:piRNA from 1 species
UGACUGAUCAGACUCAGGUGAGUGGGACCUGC